CGAACUCCUGACCUUAGGUGAUCUGCCUGCCUCGGCUUCCCAAAGUGUUAGGAUUACAGGCGUCAGCCACUGUGCCUGGCCCAGAUGUCUCUAAUUCUAACAUGAGAUGUAUUGCAGGAUCAUAGCAGAGUGAGUUGCUGAUGUAUCCAGAAGGAAACGAGCAUGGAACACUCACGACAGCUGUCCUGAGAAGUGUGUGUGUGCUGUGCUUGAAUAUCUCACUGCUCAUUUAUACACAGGCUUUCUGGUGACUGAGUUAACAGUAUCUGUUUCAUAAAUAAUGUAGCCCUCUUUCUUUCUUUCUCUCUCUCUCUCUCUUUUUUUUUUUUUUUUUUUUUUUUGAGACAGGGUCUUGCUCUGCUACCCAGGCUGGAGUGCAAUGGUGCAGUCUCAGCUCACUGCAACUUCACCAUGCCUGGCUAAUUUUUUCUUUUUUUUUUUUUUGAGACGGAGUUUCGCUGUUUUUGCCCAGGCUGGAGUGCAAUGGCACAAUCUCGGCUCACCACAAUCUUUGCCUUUUGGGUUCAAGGGAUUCUCCUGCCUCAGCCUCCCGAGUAGCUGGGAUUACAGGCAUGUGCCACCACACCCGGCUAAUGUUGUAGUUUUAGUAGAGACGGGGUUUCCCUAUGUUGGUUAGGCUGGUCUCAAACUCCUGACCUCAGGUGAUCUACCCGCCUCGGCCUCUCAAAGUGCUGGGAUCACAGGCAUGAGCCAUCACUCCUGGCCUAAUUUUUGUAUUUUUAGUAGAGAGAGGGUUUCACUCUGUUGGCCAGGCUGGUCUCGAAUUCCUGACCUCAAGUUAUCUGCCUGCCUCGGCCUCCCAAACUGUUGGAGUUACAGGCGUGAACCACCAUGCCUGGCCAGCUCUAUUUCUUUAAGCCUACAUGUUUUGCACUUGUUAAAAGUAUUUGAACAUACAAUUACUCAGCUUCCCUUGUUUACGCGUGAAUUUUGUAGAAUCUUAAAUAUUUUUUCCAAUCUAAGCUUUAUUUUAUCCCGUUUCUUCUAUAUUUGUAUAACUUUAGGCGGCUAUCUUCAUUGAAAGUUUUUUCUCAAAAGCCUUAAGAUAGAACAUAGUUCUUGGCAGCAAUUUGAAAGUUAUUUGAGGAGAAGGGGAGACUUACAAUGAUGAUUCAAAUGAAGGAAACUAAAAAGUAAUGAAGCAAGGCAGAGGAAAAAGCAGUACUCACUUGAGCACAUCCCAAAAGAAUAACAUUUCAAAUGUAACUAGAAAAAAGUAUGCUGAAGUUCGCAAUACAGAAAUAAUUAUUAAUAAGAUAGCUUUAAAGCCCUGCUCAGCUUUUGAAUGUUGGGAAUUGACCCAGAGGUGGCUGUAACCUAAGAUGGUUCCUUCAGUAAUGACCAUUUUUUCUUUUUCAAGAUGAUGAUUAUUCCCCACCUUCUAAGAGACAAAGACCAACGAGCCACCACAGCCACCAGUCCCAGAACCCGCCAAUGCUGGGGAACGGAAAAUGAGGGAGUUCAACUCUGGCCCUCACAAUCCAGUGGAGGAGACGAAACUCAUCUGCCUCUGUCCCUCUGGGCACGCCUCGUGCCAGGUGCAUCUGUGGACAGGGGCCAUGCUCCUGGGCUUCCAAAGUUGGAGAAAGCUGCCAGGCUCAGGUCUGAAGGCCAGAAUUCUACAGUAAGUCCUACUGAGUCAAGGUGGGAGCAGGGUCGGUAGCUUCCGAGGCUCUGCGGGAGAAUCCGUUUCCUGGCCGUAGAGGUGGCCUGCACUCCUCAGCUUGUGCUGUCCGUCUCGAAUGACUGGAGUUUCCUGCUUCUGUCACUACACCUCCCACCCUCUCCAUCACCUGCUCUGCUCUUACAAGGAUCCGAAGAAAUGGAAUCAUCGUAUCGCUGAUCUACGUAAACAAACUGAAGAAUUGUCUGAAAGAAAAUAUGACAUGAACUUAUGAAUUCAACAGGUGAAGAUUUACAACUUGAUAAAUCAACUUUGUCAGCUCGAGCUGUAAAAGCCAAAGGUCCGGUGAUGAUCCCAUACCCUUUUUUCCAGUCUCAUGUUGAAGAUUUUUAUGUAGAAGGCCUUCCCAAAGGAAUUUUUUUUUUUUUUUUUUUGAGAUGGAGUUUUCACUCUUAUCGCCCAGGCUGGGGUGCAAUGGCGCAACCUUGCUGGUCACUGCAACCUCUGCCUCCUGGGUUCAAGAAAUUCUCCUGCCUUAGCCUCCCAAGUCACUGGGAUUACAGGUGCCCACCACCAUACCAGGCUAAUUUUUGUAUUUUUAGUGGAGAUGCGGUUUCACCAUGUUGGCCGGGCCAGUCUCGAACUCCUGACGUCAAGUGAUCUUCCCGCCUCGACUCCUGAUAUCAAGUGAUCUUCCCGCCUCGGCCUCCCAGAGUGCUGAGAUUACAGACGUGAACCCAUGCCUGGCCAGGAAUUUUGUUUUUUAGGAAGGCUUUCUACUAAUGGAAUUCCUGGCCUUGAGAGGAUGUUACUUUAGAAGGAAAGGAUUUUUUUGUUAUUAAAAGAGCCACCUAAGCUGAAGAUUCCCUUGAGAACAAGUACUGUCCCUAGUUUCCCAGUGCUGGAAUAUAGAAAAUGGAUGGACAAGUAAAUCCCACUCAGCACCCAUAGUCCAGGCAUGGGGACCUCAACACACCUGAGCCCCAGACAUCACCUUUCAUUCUGGACCUACCAUGAAAGACUUCUGAAUCCAGGAAGAGAAACUGACUGGGCAACAUGUUAUUCAGGUACAAAAAGACUUGGACUGUAACUCAAAAAUGAUCAAAUAAUAGUGCAUGCAUCAAGUGCAAUCGGAAGCUCUUCUGGAGAGGGAGAGAAGCUUCCAGUUAAGGUGACAUUGAAGCCAAGUCCUGUAAGAUAAGGAAGAGUUGUAUGAGAGUGGGGAGGGAAGGGGGAGGUGGAGGGAUGGGGAUUGGGCUGGGAUGGGAUGGAGUGAGCUGCCCAGGCAGGGAAACCAGCACUAUACAGACCUGAACAAUGAAGAUGGCACAUUUUGUUCAGGGAAUGGUGAAUUAAGUGUGGCAGAAAUGCUUUGUAGAGACAGUAAUUUGCUUGUAUGGAAUUUUGCCCAAGAGACCUCAUUACAGUUUCUAAUUUUUUGAUGUUAUCAUGCAUCACUGCCCUUGUCAGAUAGUAUCAUGAUCACAAUAACAUCAAGCAUAAUAUUUCAUUGAUUCUCACAAAAACAGGUGGGUGCCACAGUUAUCCCCAUUAUAUGCACAAAAUGAUGAAGACUUGGGGUUAAUGAGCGAUUUGCCCAAGCUCUCCUGAAUAUUAGGACUGAGUCAAAUGUUAGUCUGGUCUGACUUUAAUGCUUGCCUUGUUCAUGAGCACCAUGCAUUGCCUCUCCUAUUAAGUUAAGCAGGUAGACAGGUGAGAGAAGAGCCAGUGUGAUAUCGGGGGAAAUUCACCCCUGAUAUUUCAUGUAGGUUCUUUUCUAUUUUCCCUGAGUGUCAGCCAGUCUGAGAAAUAAAGGGAAAGAGUACAAAAGAGAGA